rnacentral:rRNA from 1 species
UGGGGAAUAUUGCACAAUGGAGGGAACUCUGAUGCAGCGACGCCGCGUGAACGAAGAAGGCUUUCGAGUCGUAAAGUUCUUUUAUAUGGGAAGAUAAUGACGGUACCAUAAGAAAAAGCCCCGGCUAACUACGUGCCAGCAGCCGCGGUAAUACGUAGGGGGCUAGCGUUGUCCGGAAUCACUGGGCGUAAAGGGUUCGCAGGCGGAAAUGCAAGUCAGGUGUAAAAGGCAGUAGCUUAACUACUGUAAGCAUUUGAAACUGCAUAUCUUGAGAAGAGGAGAAGUAAGUGGAAUUUUUAGUGUAGCGGUGAAAUGCGUAGAUAUUAAAAAGAAUACCGGGGGCGAAGGCGGCUUACUGGGCUCAUUCUGACGCUGAGGAACGAAAGCGUGGGUAGCAAACAGG